CUCCCGGCACGGGGAGGUAGUGACGAAAAAUAACGAUACGGGACUCAUCCGAGGCCCCGUGAUCGGAAUGAGCACACUUUAAAUCCUUUAACGAGGAUCAAUUGGAGGGCAAGUCUGGUGCCAGCAGCCGCGGUAAUUCCAGCUCCAAUAGCGUAUAUUAAAGUUGCUGCGGUUAAAAAGCUCGUAGUCGAAAUUGUGUCCUCGGCCGCCGGUUCGUCGCUCGCGACGCCAACUGGCGCGCACGCUGGACGUCCAGCCGGUACUACGAACUCGCCUACGGGGUGCUCUUAACCGAGUGUCCAGGCGGGGGCCGGCAACGUUACUUUGAACAAAUUAAAGUGCUUAAAGCAGGCUAAAUUCCGCUCGCAUACACGCGCAUGGAAUAAUCGAAUAGGACCUCCGUUCUAUUUUGUUGGGUUUUUGUGGAACGACAGACGGAGGUAAUGAUCAAUGGGUGCGGAUGGGGGCAUUCGUAUUGCGACGUUAGAGGUGAAAUUCUUGGAUCGUCGCAAGACGGACUUAAGCGAAAGCAUUUGCCAAAAACGCUUUCAUCGAUCAAGAACGAAAGUUAGAGGUUCGAAGGCGAUCAGAUACCGCCCUAGUUCUAACCAUAAACUAUGCCAGCUAGCGAUCCGCCGAAGUUACUUCUACGACUCGGCGGGCAGCUUCCGGGAAACCAAAGCUUUCGGGUUCCGGGGGAAGUAUGGUUGCAAAGCUGAAACUUAAAGGAAUUGACGGAAGGGCACCACCAGGAGUGGAGCCUGCGGCUUAAUUUGACUCAACACGGGAAACCUCACCAGGCCCGGACACCGGAAGGAUUGACAGAUUGAGAGCUCUUUCUUGAUUCGGUGGGUGGUGGUGCAUGGCCGU
rnacentral:rRNA from 3 species